rnacentral:rRNA from 1 species
GACGAACGCUGGCGGCGUGCCUAAUACAUGCACGUAGAACGCAGUUGCGAACGUUUGAUUAACGCGUAGGUAACUGCCUUUUAUCGGUGGAUAACUAUUGGAAACGAUAGCUAAUACCGCAUACUACCAGCUGUACCUGCGUUGUAUUAUCUAGUUUGUGAGGUAACGGCGCACCAAGGCAACGAUACAUAGCCGACGGGGGAGGGUGAUCGGCCACAAUGGGACGGAGAAACGGCCCAGACUUCCACGGGAGGCCGAAGUAGGGAAGCUUCGGCAAUGGGGGGAAAACUGAACGAGCAAAGACGAGUGAGGGAAGAAGGUUUUCGGAGCGGAAAGCUCGGUUGUUAAGGAAGCGGUACUGAACCAGAAAGGGACGGCUAACUACGUGCCAGCAGCCGCGGUAAUAC